rnacentral:rRNA from 1 species
AUCAACUUUCGAUGGUAGGAUAGAGGCCUACCAUGGUGGUAACGGGUAACGGGGUGUUAGGGCACGACACCGGAGAGGGAGCCUGAGAAACGGCUACCACAUCCAAGGAUGGCAGCAGGCGCGCAAAUUACCCAAUCCCGACACGGGGAGGUAGUGACAAUAAAUAACAAUACGGGGUUCUUUAGGAUCUCGUAAUUGGAAUGAGUACAAUUUAAAUCUCUUAACGAGGAACAAUUGGAGGGCAAGUCUGGUGCCAGCAGCCGCGGUAAUUCCAGCUCCAAUAGCGUAUAUUAAAGUUGUUGCAGUUAAAAAGCUCGUAGUUGAAUUUCGAGACCGGCUUACUGGUCGUGCUUUUGUGCGUACUGGUAUAAUCGGUUUCUCCUUUCUGACGAACUUUAAUGCCAUUAAUUUGGUGUUUUAGGGAAUCAGGACUGUUACUUUGAAAAAAUUAGAGUGUUUAAAGCAGGCUCACGCUUGAAUACAUUAGCAUGGAAUAACGGAAUAGGACGUUUGAUUCUAUUUUGUUGGUUUCUAGGAUCGACGUAAUGAUUAAUAGGGAUAGUUGGGGGCAUUAGUAUUCAAUUGUCAGAGGUGAAAUUCUUGGAUUUAUUGAAGACUAACUACUGCGAAAGCAUUUGCCAAGGAUGUUUUCAUUAAUCAAGAACGAAAGUUAGGGGAUCGAAGACGAUCAGAUACCGUCGUAGUCUUAACCAUAAACUAUGCCGACUAGGGAUCGGAUGAUGUUAAUUUUUUAAUGACUCAUUCGGCGCCUUACGGGAAACCAAAGUGUUUGGGUUC